rnacentral:rRNA from 1 species
UACGAAGGGGGCUAGCGUUGCUCGGAAUCACUGGGCGUAAAGCGCACGUAGGCGGCUUUUUAAGUCAGGGGUGAAAUCCUGGAGCUCAACUCCAGAACUGCCUUUGAUACUGGGAGCUCGAGUCCGGGAGAGGUGAGUGGAACUCCGAGUGUAGAGGUGAAAUUCGUAGAUAUUCGCAAGAACACCAGUGGCGAAGGCGGCUCACUGGUCCGGUACUGACGCUGAGGUGCGAAAGCGUGGGGAGCAAACAGGG